UACGUAGGGUGCAAGCGUUAAUCGGAAUUACUGGGCGUAGAGCGUGCGCAGGCGGUUUUGUAAGUUUGUCGUGAAAGCCCCGGGCUCAACCUGGGAAUUGCGAUGAAGACUGCAAGGCUUGAAUCUGGACAGAGGGGGGUAGAAGUUCCACGUGUAGCAGUGAAAUGCGUAGAGAUGUGGAGGAACACCGAUGGCGAAGGCAGCCCCCUGGGUCAAGAUUGACGCUCAUGCACGAAAGCGUGGGGAGCAAACAGG
rnacentral:rRNA from 1 species